rnacentral:misc_RNA from 1 species
GGCAAUCACACUAAUUUAGGCUAGCUAUAAAUUUUUGACAUUAUCCAUUUUUGGCUGUAAUAUCAAUACAUAUCUAUAUGUGUAUUCCUAAUUAGAAAAGAAUCCCUAAUUAGUAAAGGAUUCCUAAUUAGUUUAGAAUAGCGCAAUUAUACCAGAAAAUUGUGUGUGUAUGUAUGUGUAUGUAAAUCUACUUUGAAAUAAAUGAGAGUUAUUUUUCUCUUCUACAAUUUAGUUCUCCAACCAUUAUAAACAAUAUUUACUCUCCACCAAUCAAGGAGUCAAGGAUUCCCUCAAGUUUGAAUUGAUAGCUUAAUCCUCUCCUAAGACUU